UAGGGAAUCUUCCGCAAUGGACGAAAGUCUGACGGAGCAACGCCGCGUGAACGAUGAAGGCUUUCGGGUCGUAAAGUUCUGUUGUCAGGGAAGAACAAGUACCGGAGUAACUGCCGGUACCUUGACGGUACCUGGCCAGAAAGCCACGGCUAACUACGUGCCAGCAGCCGCGGUAAUACGUAGGUGGCAAGCGUUGUCCGGAAUUAUUGGGCGUAAAGCGCGCGCAGGCGGUUCCUUAAGUCUGAUGUGAAAGCCCCCGGCUCAACCGGGGAGGGUCAUUGGAAACUGGGGAACUUGAGUGCAGAAGAGGAGAGCGGAAUUCCACGUGUAGCGGUGAAAUGCGUAGAGAUGUGGAGGAACACCAGUGGCGAAGGCGGCUCUCUGGUCUGUAACUGACGCU
rnacentral:rRNA from 1 species